GAUAACUUCCUGAAUCACACUGUAAUUUGGCUGGGACUGUUUUUGCGUGACACUGAACGAAGAUCUUUAGAUAACUCUAAGAUUUCAAGGCACGGAUUUGUACGUAAUGACUUUUAUAUUUGAAUAAAGCAAUUGGUCCAAAACAAAAUUAUAUUUUUACUGCAUAUGGCAAAGAUUAUUUAUAAAUAAAGUUAAAGGGAAUAGCACUAAAUAGAGAAUGUUAGUAAACUACGUUCCAUUAAGAAUCAAAUCAAAUAACUUAAUGCUACAUGCAGUCAAGGCAAAACAGUGACAAGUACUCCCUCCGUUCCAAAUUAUAGUUCGUUUUGACUUUUUAGUUCAUAGAUAUUAUUAUGCAUCUAGACAUGGUGUAUGUCUAGAUGCAUAAUAAUCUUUAUGAAUCUAGAAAAUCCAAAACGACCUAUAAUUUGGAACGAAAGGAGUUGUACGCAACUAUAACAAACAAGUCACCAAUUCGUUUGUGUAAGGAGGGGAGAGGAAGGGGGGUGGGUCACUCGUGACCAAGGAUGCACUUUUUGUGUCAUUUCAAAAAUCAUUUUAUUUGUUUGAGAUAACCGGGUUUUAUGAUCUCAUAUGACAUGUAUAAUUUUUCACGCCAACGAAUCCAAUUUGGGAUGGCUAUUUAUCAGUCAUAUGUGAAUGUGAUGAGUCUGUAUGUACGAGUGGCAAACUGUGAGCGCCAAAUAAAAUUAUUUCGGCUAAAAUAUUGCUGGUUUAUUUAAGUUAGAAGGGUCAUCCUACCAAAUGAUCAUGAGAAGGAUCUUAUCAUUGAUGGGAAGCAAUGCUUUUUUUUAUCGGAAAUAAUCAUAUACGUG
rnacentral:lncRNA from 1 species